AGUGAACGCUGGCGGUAGGCCUAACACAUGCAAGUCGAACGGCAGCACAGUAAGAGCUUGCUCUUAUGGGUGGCGAGUGGCGGACGGGAGAGGAAUAUAUCGGAAUCUACUUUUUCGUGGGGGAUAACGUAGGGAAACUUACGCUAAUAUCGCAUACGACCUACGGGUGAAAGCAGGGGAUCUUCGGACCUUGCGCGAUUGAAUGAGCCGAUGUCGGAUUAGCUAGUUGGCGGGGUAAAGGCCCACCAGGGCGACGAUCCGUAGCUGGUCUGAGAGGAUGGUCGGCCACACUAGAACUGGAACACGGUCCAGACUCCUACGGGAGGCAGCAGUGGGGAAUAUUGGACAAUGGGCGCAAGCCUGAUCCAGCCAUACCGCGUGGGUGAAGAAGGCCUUCGGGUUGUAAAGCCGUUUUGUUGGGAAAGAAAAGCAGCAGGUUAAUACCCCGCGGUUCUGACGGUACCCAAAGAAUAAGCACCGGCUAGCUUCGUG
rnacentral:rRNA from 1 species